GUUCAAACUUCCCACAUGUAACCCAGGUGUCCGCCAUGACCCAAUCACCUUCCCUUUAAGUUGAUUGUCAUGGGUGCUUCCGGGUUUUGUUUUUUCCUCCCCACCUUGCUGCUACUCACUGUUGGUUGUUUGUAAAACAACCUGGAGUUUCUGAAUCGACUCAUCACUCAUUUAAUCUCUAAAACUUGAAGAUUGCGGUUGUGAUCCAUUGACAGCUGGUGAACCUUCCUGAUCUGAGCAAGUUAUCAUUGCAUCCACCUCAUCAGAUAAUCCGUUACUCGACGGUCAGGUUUUUCCCCCUUGCAUUGACUCACUUGAUGACGGA